rnacentral:lncRNA from 1 species
CACACACACACACACACACACACACGUGCACACACAUGUACAUGCACACACACACCCUGGGGAAGUUGCCUGAUUGUUGCCAAGUAGUGAAUGGUCUUAAGGCCAUUGUUGGUGGGAAGUGGGAUGAUAAACAUCUCUGCUGAGACUUAUACAGAACCUCAUUUGCUUGGAGGAAUUUUAGGUAAGACAAAAACAAGGUAGUUAUGGAGGGCUGGGGAGAACAGAACAAACCACUCAAUAGGGUGGUCAUGGGGAGGAGCUUGGAGGAAACACCCUCUCUCUGCCAUAUGAUCCACCACAAAUGAACCAAGGGAGAUAAGGAAAAGUGAAAGGUCACUUUGGGAAGACUCUUUAGGCGGAGGUGAGGUAACUCCCCCUUAAUCCAACAAGAUAAUUUGGAACUCGCUCACAUUUUACUCCCCUCUCCCUUCCCCCAGAUGGAGUGGGAUGGUGCAUUGUGAUGUCACUCUGAGUCUCCCCAAGGCUACCACUAGCUGGGAGGAGUUUCUUGCUGACUAAAGAAAGCUGAAGGGUAUACCUCUUCAUUGUCCUAGGGAGAGUAUAUAUAGGGAGAUCAGGAGAACUGUUGGUCAAGCUACUGUUGACUUAGACAUGGCAGAGGUGAAUGGGAAACCACAAGAGCCCAGCACAGACUCAGAACCACCAAUCACAAGCAUUAACCAACCAACUACAAGCAAUAGACAGAGGAUGAAUCUGAAGAACUGCUGUCAACCCAACAUCAAAGACACUGAAAAGUUGAAGCAGAUCGUCAAGAGGAUAAAAUUAGCUCUUCAACAGAGUUCAGGAAAUCCAAAGAAAACAAAAAUGCUGAACAUAGGAGCCUGUUACCACAGGGCACAUAAAAAGAAGAAUCUAAAUAAGGCGGUCCAAGAGCAAAAGAACCUGGACAACUCUGCCUCUGCGAGUAAUGCCUCAUGCAUAGUAGAGCCCAAUGAACUACAAGUUUUCUCAGCAUCCCCAGUGGAAGUUCUAAAAAAACGUUCAACCCGUAAAGACUAAACCUCCCACCAAAAGGUACACGAAUGGUGACAAUUAAUAAAAGCAACAUGUUUCGAAAAUGAUGUGUGUAU